GGAGCUGUUUCAGUCCGGGAAAAGGAAAAAAAAAGAAUUAAGAAGAAAACUUCCGGCUUCCGUUCGGUACUUAGGUUAUGGUAAAAGUAGAAAAUAAAAGAAGCUUAAGUUAUCCUCUACGGUCUCUGGUUAGUACUUAGAUGAUUCGUAGCAUAAUACGGGAUGGAAGAUCUUUUGCUGGAGCCAUUGUUCUCGAUUGCUUAUCAUAAUUGUGGAUUGCGAUUUGAGAUUUGAUGCUUGACAAGGGAGUUGAUCAACGUGGAGCCUAGAGAAUGAUUUUAGAUGUUUAAAGUUAUCAUUUAUGCCUAAAAUUCUAUUUUAAAAUGUAAUUAAUCUUAGUUUAAUGCUGUAAAAAUAUUGUAUGAUGUUGAGUUGACUGAUUUUCUUUUUAAAUUC